rnacentral:rRNA from 1 species
UACGUAGGGUGCGAGCGGUGUCCGGAAUUAUUGGGCGUAAAGAGCUUGUAGGCGGUUUGUCGCGUCUGCCGUGAAAAUCCGGGGCUCAACCCCGGACUUGCGGUGGGUACGGGCAGACUAGAGUGUGGUAGGGGAGACUGGAAUUCCUGGUGUAGCGGUGAAAUGCGCAGAUAUCAGGAGGAACACCGGUGGCGAAGGCGGGUCUCUGGGCCGAUACUGACGCUGAGGAGCGAAAGCGUGGGGAGAGAACAGG